rnacentral:rRNA from 1 species
AAAUUGUUGCAGUUAAAAGCUCGUAGUUGAAUUUCUGCUACAUUGCCUAUUCUCCUUUACGAGUUUGGGUCUUUUGUGGCUUAUCUGGGUUCGCUUGCGUUCCCGGUGUUUUACUUUGAGAAAAUUAGAGUGCUCAAAGCAGGCUUUUGCCUUGAAUAGUUUAGCAUGGAAUAAUAAAGUAGGACUUUGGUUCUAUUUUGUUGGUUUUAGGUACCAAAGUAAUGGUUAAUAGGAACAGUUGGGGGCAUUCGUAUUUAACUGUCAGAGGUGAAAUUCUUAGAUUUGUUAAAGAC